rnacentral:pre_miRNA from 1 species
CCUACAUCGACGCUUAAGAACUCAGAGGUUAACUUUCUCAUUGGGGGGAAAUUUUUUGUUAUGACAGGAACACGAGUGGUACACCACGUGUUUUUAUAUAAGUGGUGGAAAAUUUUWUUUUUUAAGUUAUUAACUUUUUAACACACAUCCCACCAUUUAUAUAGCGACACAUGGUGUACCACCCCGUGUGACGGUCACACUGAAAAAUMUCUUCUCAUUGGGAGUCCUAACUUUCGUUUACAUUGGGAUAUUGUUG